rnacentral:rRNA from 1 species
CCUACGGGAGGCAGCAGUGAGGAAUAUUGGUCAAUGGACGAGAGUCUGAACCAGCCACGUAGCAUGAAGGAUGACUGCCCUAUGGUUUGUAAACUUCUUUUAUAUGGGAAUAAAAUGUUCCACGUGUGGGAUUUUGUAUGUACCCUAUGAAUAAGGAUCGACUAACUCCGUGCCAGCAGCCGCGGUAAUACGGAGGAUCCGAGCGUUAUCCGGAUUUAUUGGGUUUAAAGGGAGCGUAGGUGGAUUGUUAAGUCAGUUGUGAAAGUUUGCGGCUCAACCGUAAAAUUGCAGUUGAAACUGGCAGUCUUGAGUACAGUAGAGGUGGGCGGAAUUCGUGGUGUAGCGGUGAAAUGCUUAGAUAUCACGAAGAACUCCGAUUGCGAAGGCAGUUCACUGGACUGCAACUGACACUGAGGCUCGAAAGUGUGGGUAUCAAACAGGAUUAGAUACCCUGGUAGUC